CACACACACACUCUCUCUGCAAGAGGAAUAAACUGCUGCAUGCUGAUUGGCUGAAAGUGAAAGUUAAUGAUUAAUUAUUCCCCUCUGUGUGUGUGAUCAAUAUAAACCGAGAUUUUUUCAGAGAAAGAAAACAGAAAGGCAAACAGCGAUCAGGCUGAGGGUUAAGGGCCUUGCUCAGGGGCCCAGCAGUGGCAGUUUGGUGAGUCUGGGAUUUGAACUCAUGACCUUCUGAUCACAUAAAAAAAAUAGAGCGGUGAAAAAACUUCUGAAAACAGAGCGGUGUAGAGUGUCGAGAGUGCAGUGUGUUAGGUCUGAGCAGUACGGUAUGAGACAGUAACACAAAAAUUGAAUUACUGAGUAUUAUUAUUAUUAUUAUUAUUAUUAUUAUUAUUAUUAUUAUUAUUAUUAUUAUUAUGAAAGCCUCUGUGCUUGUAUUGGAUUCCUCCUAAAAUCUCAAAUCUCACAGGAGUCCGCUGGUGUGAGAAAACAGCCAGGUGUGUGUGUGUGUGUGUGUGUGUGUGUGUGUGUGUGUGUGUGUGUGUGUGUGUGUGUGUGUGUGUGUGUGUGUGUGUGUGUGUGUGAGUGAGAGAGUGUGAAGCUUCGCACCUGGAAAGGUGACCGAGUGCUCAUUGGUUAGUGUAACACCCACACACACACACACACACACACACACAAAAUAAACAAAUAAACCUACAUCUGUGACCUUUGUAUUUCUUCACACUAAACCCUUUAAUCUGUCCAGCUGCUCCGUGUGUCUCGUGUACAGUCGUCUGUGAACAUUUAGUUUUGGGACAAACAGAACCUGAACAGAAUCAAUAACAAGAAUAAAUCUUAUAAAUGUUCACUA